UCUCAGUUCGGAUUGUAGUCUGCAACUCGACUACAUGAAGCUGGAAUCGCUAGUAAUCGCGAAUCAGAAUGUCGCGGUGAAUACGUUCCCGGGGUCUUGUACACACCGCCCGUCACACCCAUGGGAGUUGGGAAUGCCCGAAGCCGGUGACCUAACCGAAAGGGAGGAGCCGUCGAAGGCAGGCUUGAUAACUGGGGUGAAGUCGUAACAAGGUACC
rnacentral:rRNA from 1 species